GCUCUAUUACAAUAUGAUAUAUAUUUUGUAUGUAUAUGUGUCAUGGUUUAGCUUUUAAAGGUUAACCAGCGAAAAUAUGCAAAUGGGGGACAAUGAUAUAUAGUGUAUUUUUCAAAAGAUAUUCAUGGUA